rnacentral:rRNA from 1 species
CAUGCAAGUCGAGGGGAAACGACAUCGAAAGCUUGCUUUUGAUGGGCGUCGACCGGCGCACGGGUGAGUAACGCGUAUCCAACCUGCCCAUCACUUGGGGAUAACCUUGCGAAAGUAAGACUAAUACCCAAUGACGUCUCUAGAAGACAUCUGAAAGAGAUUAAAGAUUUAUCGGUGAUGGAUGGGGAUGCGUCUGAUUAGCUUGUUGGCGGGGUAACGGCCCACCAAGGCGACGAUCAGUAGGGGUUCUGAGAGGAAGGUCCCCCACAUUGGAACUGAGACACGGUCCAAGCUCCUACGGGAGGCAGCAGUGAGGAAUAUUGGUCAAUGGGCGAGAGCCUGAACCAGCCAAGUAGCGUGCAGGAUGACGGCCCUAUGGGUUGUAAACUGCUUUUAUAAGGGAAUAAAGUGAGUCUCGUGAGACUUUUUGCAUGUACCUUAUGAAUAAGGACCGGCUAAUUCCGUGCCAGCAGCCGCGGUAAUACGGAAGGUCCGGGCGUUAUCCGGAUUUAUUGGGUUUAAAGGGAGCGUAGGCCGGAGAUUAAGCGUGUUGUGAAAUGUAGACGCUCAACGUCUGCACUGCAGCGCGAACUGGUUUCCUUGAGUACGCACAAAGUGGGCGGAAUUCGUGGUGUAGCGGUGAAGUGCUUAGAUAUCACGAAGAACUCCGAUUGCGAAGGCAGCUCACUGGAGCGCAACUGACGCUGAAGCUCGAAAGUGCGGGUAUCGAACAGGAUUAGAUACCCUGGUAGUCCGCACGGUAAACGAUGGAUGCCCGCUGUUGGUCUGAAUAGGUCAGCGGCCAAGCGAAAGCAUUAAGCAUCCCACCUGGGGAGUACGCCGGCAACGGUGAAACUCAAAGGAAUUGACGGGGGCCCACACAAGCGGAGGAACAUGUGGUUU